rnacentral:rRNA from 1 species
AGUGAACGCUGGCGGUAGGCCUAACACAUGCAAGUCGAACGGCAGCACAGUAAGAGCUUGCUCUUACGGGUGGCGAGUGGCGGACGGGUGAGGAAUACAUCGGAAUCUACUUUUUCGUGAGGGAUAACGUAGGGAAACUUACGCUAAUACCGCAUACGACCUACGGGUGAAAGCAGGGGAUCUUCGGACCUUGCGCGAUUGAAUGAGCCGAUGUCGGAUUAGCUAGUUGGCGGGGUAAAGGCCCACCAAGGCGACGAUCCGUAGCUGGUCUGAGAGGAUGAUCAGCCACACUGGAACUGAGACACGGUCCAGACUCCUACGGGAGGCAGCAGUGGGGAAUAUUGGACAAUGGGCGCAAGCCUGAUCCAGCCAUACCGCGUGGGUGAAGAAGGCUUUCGGGUUGUAAAGCCCUUUUGUUGGGAAAGAAAAGCAGCAGGUUAAUACCCCGCUGUUCUGACGGUACCCAAAGAAUAAGCACCGGCUAACUUCGUG